GACAGAGGAUGCAAGCGUUAUCCGGAAUGAUUGGGCGUAAAGCGUCUGUAGGUGGCUUUUUAAGUCUGCCGUCAAAUCCCAGGGCUUAACCCUGGACAGGCCGGUGGAAACCUACCAAGCUGGAGUACGGUAGGGGCAGAGGGAAUUUCCGGUGGAGCGGGUGAAAUGCGUAGAGAUCGGAAAGAACACCAACGGCGAAAGCACUCUGCUGGGCCGACACUGACACUGAGAGACGAAAGCUAGGGGAGCAAUGGG
rnacentral:rRNA from 1 species